AAACAUUGGAACGAAAUUCUAGUUACGUCGGCCACCUUAAACGUUCACUCAUAACAGUGAACCUAAGGUGAAAGUAAAUUAAAAUGAGAGUGUAACUCCACACCGACAACAUAUGCACAGAUGUCGUUUUGCAUCUCUUUCUAUGCUGUAUUUGACAGUUUGACUGGCAAAAACAAAAUCACAAACAAAAGGAACAUGAAGAUUACAUUUGAACAAGGAGUUGGAAAUUUAUUUCGACCAAAAUUCACAAAAAACGGACACAUGGAUUUCACUGACCAUCUUAAAAAUUUUGGUUUUCCGUAGAAUCUAAAAAAAAAAAUCGGUAGAAAAUCGGAAAUUUUAAAAAUGCCAUCCGUGUUGAUUUCAUCUGUUUCAUAGAGAUGUAAUGAAAUAAAUUUUGUUAUAAUACAAAAAUUUUAAAUAAUUUCAAUGGCUUUAUACA